rnacentral:misc_RNA from 1 species
UGGCUCUCGCAUCGAUGAAGAACGCAGCGAAAUGCGAUAAGUAAUGUGAAUUGCAGAUUUUCAGUGAAUCAUCGAAUCUUUGAACGCACCUUGCGCUCCUUGGUAUUCCGAGGAGCAUGCCUGUUUGAGUGUCAUUAAAUUCUCAACCCCAGCGGUUCGUUGGGGCUUGGACUUGGAGCGUGCUGGCGAAGGUCGGCUCCUCUUUAAAUGCAUCAGCGGAAAACGGAACUUUCCCUUCGGCGUGAUAAUAUCGUUGCGUCGUGGUGGGUCGGUUAAAGGGUCCCGCUCACAAUCGUCCUCGGACAAAAAUAAAAAACAUCUGUUUUGACCUCAGAUCAGGUAGGACUACCCGCUGA